AGAGUUGUCCUGGCUCAGGAUGAACGCUAGCUACAGGCUUAACACAUGCAAGUCGAGGGGCAGCAUUAUCGAAGCUUGCUUUGAUAGAUGGCGACCGGCGCACGGGCGAGUAACGCGUAUCCAACCUUCCCAUCACUCAGGGAUAGCCCGCCGAAAGGCGAAUUAAUACCUGAUGGUCUCCUUUGCAGACAUCUAACGAGGAGUAAAGAUUUCAUUGGUGAUGGAUGGGGAUGCGUCUGAUUAGGUAGUAGGCGGGGUAACGGCCCACCUAGCCAUCGAUCAGUAGGGGUUCUGAGAGGAAGGUCCCCCACAUUGGAACUGAGACACGGUCCAAACUCCUACGGGAGGCAGCAGUGAGGAAUAUUGGUCAAUGGACGGAAGUCUGAACCAGCCAAGUAGCCGUGCAGGAAGACGGCCCUAUGGGUUGUAAACUGCUUUUGUGCGGGAAUAAAGUAUGGGACGUGUCCCGUUUUGCAUGUACCGCACGAAUAAGGACCGGCUAAUUCCGUGCCAGCCGCAGC
rnacentral:rRNA from 1 species